AGUUAGCAGUUCUUUACCAGAGAAAAAGCUUGAAAACUCUACUGAUGAAACAAUUGUUUCGAGCGAACAAACUUCAACAAGCCUUAACCAAACUCCUUCAUCUAUUAUCCCCAAGCAUUCUGAUGUUUGUGAUAAGUCUCAUCCGCAUUCAAGCUCUUCAUUUGAAUGUGUUGACGGCGGGGAAAACAAGGAAGCAGGUAUGG